CCUACGGGAGGCAGCAGUGAGGAAUAUUGGUCAAUGGACGAGAGUCUGAACCAGCCAAGUAGCGUGAAGGAUGACUGCCCUAUGGGUUGUAAACUUCUUUUAUAAAGGAAUAAAACGAGGCACGUGUGCCUUUUUGCAUGUACUUUAUGAAUAAGGAUCGGCUAACUCCGUGCCAGCAGCCGCGGUAAUACGGAGGAUCCGAGCGUUAUCCGGAUUUAUUGGGUUUAAAGGGAGCGUAGAUGGGUUGUUAAGUCAGUUGUGAAAGUUUGCGGCUCAACCGUAAAAUUGCAAUUGAUACUGGCAGUCGUGAGUAGAGUUGAGGUAGGCGGAAUGCGUGGUGUAGCGGUGAAAUGCUUAGAUAUCACGAAGAACCCCGAUUGCGAAGGCAGCUUACUAAACUGUGACUGACAUUGAUGCUCGAAAGUGUGGGUAUCAAACAGGAUUAGAUACCCCAGUAGUC
rnacentral:rRNA from 1 species